CUUAUCUUAGUGCUAGUAGCAAUAAGAAGGGAUUGGCCACAUAUAUUCUUGCGCAUCCUCCGAUUUUUUCAACAGUCUUUCUGAACAUGAGCAGAUGGUAUUAAGCUUUCACCGAAACCAAGGGAAACCGUGAACACCUCACUCCUUUUCCUUAGCGGCGGAAAGAAAGUAGAAGAUUGUAUUCUUUCUAGGUCCCAAUAGACUGAAAUGGGGCAUUAUUACCAUAAUUUAGUCUAUUAUAUUGGGGAAUUAUUACCAUAAUUUAGUCUAUUAUAGCAAACCAAGGGAAGCUGCUUCUUUCUCCCUCCGU
rnacentral:lncRNA from 1 species